GACGAACGCUGGCGGCGUGCUUAACACAUGCAAGUCGAACGGAAAGGCCCUGCUUUUGUGGGGUGCUCGAUUGGCGAACGGGUGAGUAACACGUGAGUAACCUGCCCUUGACUUUGGGAUAACUUCAGGAAACUGGGGCUAAUACCGGAUAGGAGCUCCUGCUGCAUGGUGGGGGUUGGAAAGUUUCGGCGGUUGGGGAUGGACUCGCGGCUUAUCAGCUUGUUGGUGGAGUAGUGGCUUACCAAGGCUUUGAAGGGUAGCCGGCAUUGGAGGGUGACCGGCCACAUUGGGACUGCGAUACGGCCCAGAAUCCAACGGGAGGCAGUAGUGGGGAAUAUUGCACAAUGGGCGGAAGCCUGAUGCAGCAACGCCGCGUGCGGGAUGCCGGCCUUCGGGUUGUAAACCGCUUUCGCCUGUGACGAAGCGUGAGUGACGGUAAUGGGUAAAGAAGCACCGGCUAACUACGUG
rnacentral:rRNA from 1 species